AGCAGCCGCGGUAAUUCCAGCUCCAAUAGCGUAUAUUAAAGUUGUUGCAGUUAAAAAGCUCGUAGUUGAAUUUCGGGAUCAAAUUGUCGGUCGUGCCUCGGUACGCACUGGUAUUAUUGGUUCCUACCUUCUGAAGAACCGCGAUGUCAUUAAUUUGGUGUCGUGGGGAAUCAGGACUGUUACUUUGAAAAAAUUAGAGUGUUUAAAGCAGGUUUACGCUUGAAUACAUUAGCAUGGAAUAAUGAAAUAGGACGUUUGAUUCUAUUUUGUUGGUUUCUAGGAUUGACGUAAUGAUUAAUAGGGAUAGUUGGGGGCGAUUAGUAUUCAAUUGUCAGAGGUGAAAUUCUUGGAUUUAUUGAAGACUAACUACUGCGAAAGCAUUUGCCAAGGAUGUUUUCAUUAAUCAAGAACGAAAGUUAGGGGAUCGAAGACGAUCAGGUACCGUCGUAGUCUUAACCAUAAACUAUGCCGACUAGGGAUCGGAUGAUGUUAAUUUUUUAAUGACUCAUUCGGCGCCUUA
rnacentral:rRNA from 1 species